UCCUCGGUGGCUGAGCAGUAAAGAAUCUGCCUGCAAUGCAGGAGACUCAGGUUUGACUUCUGGGUUGGGGAU
rnacentral:tRNA from 1 species